AUGAAGGUCUUCAUCCUGGCUCUCCUCGCCCUCACAGCAACCACCGCCAUUGCCCAGUUGGAAUCCACCUGUAGCCAGGGCUUUGGACAAUGCCAACAUCAACAACCGGGGCAACAACAGCUGCUGGAGCAGAUGAAGCCGUGUGUGGCAUUCCUGCAACAACAGUGUAGCCCAGUGAGAAUGCCAUUCCUCCAAAUACAGGUGCAGCAGCUUAGCAGCUGCCAGAUCAUGCAAUACCAAUGCUGCCAGCAGCUAGCACAGAUCCCGGAGCGAAUCCGGUGCCAUGCCAUCCACAGCGUGGUAGAGGCUAUCAUGCAACAACAACCCCAACAACAAUGGCAGGAGCCCCAACAGCAAGCACAACAUAAGAGCAUAAGGAUGUUGCUUGAGAACCUAUCAUUGAUGUGCAGCAUCUCCGUCCCGGUACAAUGCCAGCAACAACAACAAUUGGGCCAACAACAACAACAAUAAUUGCAGGAGCAGUUGACACCGUGUGCGACAUUCCUGCAGCAGCAGUGCAGCCCAAUGACAGUGCCAUUCCCCCAGACACUGGUGGAUCAGCCUACCAGCUGCCAGAAUGUGCAACACCAAUGUUGCCGGCAGUUAUCACAUAUCCCGGAGCAAUUCCGUUGCCAAGCCAUCCACAACGUGGCUGAGGCUAUCAGGCAACAACGACCCCAACAACAAUGGCAGGGUAUGUACCAGGCCCAGCAGCCAGCACAACUUGAGAGCAUCAGGAUGUCGCUUCAGGCCCUGCGGUCGAUGUGUAGCAUCUACAUCCCGGUACAAUGCCCCGCCCCCACCGCCUACAACAUUCCCAUGGUGGCUACUUACCCUGGUGGUGCGUACUAG
rnacentral:rRNA from 1 species